GAGCGGCGAACGGGUGAGUAACACGUGAGUAACCUGCCCUGGACUUUGGGAUAACCCUCGGAAACGGGGGCUAAUACCGGAUACCUCCUUCUGAUCGCAUGGUUGGUUGGGGAAAGUUUUUCGGUCUGGGAUGGGCUCGCGGCCUAUCAGCUUGUUGGUGGGGUGAUGGCCUACCAAGGCGACGACGGGUAGCCGGCCUGAGAGGGCGACCGGCCACACUGGGACUGAGACACGGCCCAGACUCCUACGGGAGGCAGCAGUGGGGAAUAUUGCACAAUGGGCGGAAGCCUGAUGCAGCGACGCCGCGUGAGGGAUGACGGCCUUCGGGUUGUAAACCUCUUUCAGCAGGGACGAAGCGAGAGUGACGGUACCUGCAGAAGAAGCGCCGGCCAACUACGUGCCAGCAGCCGCGGUAAGACGUAGGGCGCGAGCGUUGUCCGGAUUUAUUGGGCGUAAAGAGCUCGUAGGCGGCUUGUCGCGUCGGCUGUGAAAUCCCGUGGCUCAACUGCGGGCUUGCAGCCGAUACGGGCAGGCUAGAGUUCGGUAGGGGAGACUGGAAUUCCU
rnacentral:rRNA from 1 species